rnacentral:rRNA from 1 species
GACGAACGCUGGCGGCGUGCUUAACACAUGCAAGUCGAACGGAAAGGCCCUGCUUGUGUGGGGUGCUCGAGGGGCGAACGGGUGAGUAACACGUGAGUAACCUGCCCUUGACUUGGGGAUAACUUCAGGAAACGGGGGCUAAUACCGGAUAGGAGUUCCUGCUGCAUGGUGGGGGUUGGAAAGUUUCGGCGGUUGGGGAUGGACUCGCGGCUUAUCAGCUUGUUGGUGGGGUAGUGGCUUACCAAGGCUUUGACGGGUAGCCGGCCUGAGAGGGUGACCGGCCACAUUGGGACUGAGAUACGGCCCAGACUCCUACGGGAGGCAGCAGUGGGGAAUAUUGCACAAUGGGCGGAAGCCUGAUGCAGCAACGCCGCGUGCGGGAUGACGGCCUUCGGGUUGUAAACCGCUUUCGGCUGUGACGAAGCGUGAGUGACGGUAAUGGGUAAAGAAGCACCGGCUAACUACGUG